GAUGAACGCUGGCGGCGUGCCUAAUACAUGCAAGUCGAGCGAACAGAUGAGGAGCUUGCUCCUCUGACGUUAGCGGCGGACGGGUGAGUAACACGUGGAUAACCUACCUAUAAGACUGGGAUAACUUCGGGAAACCGGAUCUAAUACCGGAUAAUAUAUUGAACCGCAUGGUUCAAUAGUGAAAGACGGUUUUGCUGUCACUUAUAGAUAGAUCCGCGCCGCAUUAGCUAGUUGGUAAGGUAACGGCUUACCAAGGCAACGAUGCGUAGCCGACCUGAGAGGGUGAUCGGACACACUGGAACUGAGACACGGUCCAGACUCCUACGGGAGGCAGCAGUAGGGAAUCUUCCGCAAUGGGCGAAAGCCUGACGGAGCAAUGCCGCGUGAGUGAUGAAGGUCUUCGGAUCGUAAAACUCUGUUAUUAGGGAAGAACAAAUGUGUAAGUAACUAUGCACGUCUUGACGGUACCUAAUCAGAAAGCCACGGCUAACUACGUG
rnacentral:rRNA from 1 species